rnacentral:ncRNA from 14 species
ACAAAGGCUCUUUUUAGAGCCACACACUCUCCUGGUCAAAGCUCCU